rnacentral:rRNA from 1 species
UACGAAGGGAGCUAGCGUUGUUCGGAAUCACUGGGCGUAAAGCGCACGUAGGCGGAUUUGUCAGUCAGGGGUGAAAUCCCGGGGCUCAACCUCGGAACUGCCUUUGAUACAGCAAGUCUUGAGUUCGAGAGAGGUGGGUGGAAUUCCUAGUGUAGAGGUGAAAUUCGUAGAUAUCAAGCGGAACACCGGUGGCGAAGGCGGCCUUCUGGACAGUGACUGACGCUGAGACGCGAAAGCGUGGGGAGCAAACAGG